rnacentral:rRNA from 1 species
CUAGGUCUCAGUUCAGAUUGCAGGCUGCAACCCGCCUGCAUGAAGUCGGAAUUGCUAGUAAUCGCGGAUCAGCAUGCCGCGGUGAAUACGUUCCCGGGCCUUGUACACACCGCCCGUCACACCAUGGGAGCUGGUAAUACCCGAAGUCAGUAGUCCAACCUCGUGAGGACGCUGCCGAAGGUAGGAUUGGCGACUGGGGUGAAGUCGUAACAAGGUACC